rnacentral:misc_RNA from 1 species
GAUGAAGAACGUAGCGAAAUGCGAUAAGUAAUGUGAAUUGCAGAAUUCAGUGAAUCAUCGAAUCUUUGAACGCACAUUGCGCCCGCCAGUAUUCUGGCGGGCAUGCCUGUCCGAGCGUCAUUUCAACCCUCGAACCCCUCCGGGGGGUCGGCGUUGGGGAUCGGCACUUACCUGCCGGCCCCGAAAUACAGUGGCGGUCUCGCCGCAGCCUCUCCUGCGCAGUAGUUUGCACACUCGCACCGGGAGCGCGGCGCGUCCACGGCCGUAAAACAACCCAAACUUCUGAGAUGUUGACCUCGGAUCAGGUAGGAAUACCCGCUGAACUUAAGCAUAUCAAUAAGCGGAGGA